AAGUAUCUCCCCUGUUCUUGAGCAGGGUGCUACUCAACCCGUGUAUACCUUACCUUUGUUGCUUUGGCAGGCCGCCUUCGGGCGUUGGCUCCGGCUGAUAGCGCUUGCCAGAGGACUCAAACUCUUUUGUUUAGUGAUGUCUGAGUACUAUAUAAUAGUUA
rnacentral:misc_RNA from 1 species